UUCAAGUAAUCCAGGAUAGGC
rnacentral:ncRNA from 11 species